rnacentral:rRNA from 1 species
CCUUGACAUGCAGAGAACUUUCCAGAGAUGGAUUGGUUGCCUUCGGGAACGUCUGACACAGGUGCUGCAUGGCUGUCGUCAGCUCGUGUCGAGAGAUGUUGGGUUAAGUCCGUAACGAGCGCAACCCUUGUCCUUAGUUACCAGCACGUUAUGGUGGGCACUCUAAGGAGACUGCCGGUGACAAGCCGGAGGAAGGUGGGGAUGACGUCAAGUCAUCAUGGCCCUUACGGCCUGGGCUACACACGUGCUACAAUGGUCGGUACAAAGGGUUGCCAAGCCGCGAGGUGGAGCUAAUCCCAUAAAACCGAUCGUAGUCCGGAUCGCAGUCUGCAACUCGACUGCGUGAAGUCGGAAUCGCUAGUAAUCGUGAAUCAGAAUGUCACGGUGAAUACGUUCCCGGGCCUU